UAGAAGCUGUUCGAUUGCUCUGGGGCUGC
rnacentral:piRNA from 1 species